CGCAUGGGCAGUGGCCGGGCAGCGAGUUCGCGUUCUGUGCAGCAAGUGCGACCCUCCUGUCCCCUGACAUUUUCGAACUAGGUUGAGCAUAAACCGAGGCCCGCACACCUUGGGUACAAAUAUUUGAAAAGUGCAAGAUCAAAGUCAAGGAUGACGAGCUGGAUGCCACGUUCAAGGAGGCCUCGGGGCCCACGACUUCACCGUGUUCCUGAACGUGCUGGGGAGCAGCUGAGGGGUCUCCCCCAGCUUCCUUCCCGCCAUGCACAGAAACAAGACAGAGCCUGGAGUCCAGUUCCUGUAAUUCACCUGCUGGCUGCAGCCUUGGGGACCCUCCACUCCCUCCAUGCCAUCCUGGGCCUGACACCCCCC